rnacentral:rRNA from 1 species
CCUACGGGAGGCUGCAGUGAGGAAUAUUGGUCAAUGGGCGUAAGCCUGAACCAGCCAAGUCGCGUGAGGGAUGAAUGUUCUAUGGAUCGUAAACCUCUUUUAUAAGGGAAUAAAGUGUGGCACGUGUCCUAUUUUGUAUGUACCUUAUGAAUAAGGAUCGGCUAACUCCGUGCCAGCAGCCGCGGUAAUACGGAGGAUCCGAGCGUUAUCCGGAUUUAUUGGGUUUAAAGGGUGCGUAGACGGCGUUUUAAGUCAGCGGUGAAAGUCUGUGGCUCAACCAUAGAAUUGCAGUUGAAACUGGGGGGCUUGAGUACAGUUGAGGCAGGCGGAAUGCGUGGUGUAGCGGUGAAAUGCUUAGAUAUCACGAAGAACCCCGAUUGCGAAGGCAGCUUGCCAAGCCACGACUGACGCUGAUGCACGAAAGUGUGGGUAUCAAACAGGAUUAGAUACCCGGGUAGUC